rnacentral:tRNA from 1 species
UAUUAUUUAUUUUUUUUAAAAAAGUAAAUUUGUAUUUUAAAAAUGAUUUUAAUUUUUAAUUAUUU